UAGACAACUCACAGGUAACUACUCAGAACAACUAGACAACUAACAGGUAACUACUCAGAACAACUAGACAACUAACAGGUAACUACUCAGAACAACUAGACAACUAACAGGUAACUACUCAGAACAACUAGACAACUCACAGGUAACUACUCAGAACAACUAGACAACUAACAGGUAACUACUCAGAACAACUAGACAACUCACAGGUAACUACUCAGAACAACUAAACAACUAACAGGUAACUACUCAGAACAACUAGACCACUCACAGGUAACUAUUCAGAACAACUGGACAACUAACAGGUAACUACUGAGCUGCUGAUAAUUAGACAUAACCAGCCAGGAGUCUUUGUAAUAUUCUGCAUGUUGGAGAGGGGGCAGGAUCAGCCUGGGAGAGAGAGGGCAGGAUCAGCCUGGGAGAGAGAGG